UGGCAAUGAUGACAAAAAGGCCGGAAUUACAGCUGCUCCCAGUUGGUUGGCAGUAGAAUGAUGAAAGUCGUUGUAAGGUGUUUUCUGAGCCUG